CUAUCUCAUUUCCUUUGUGAAUAACACAAACUGCUCUGUGUGUGUGCACAGGUGAGAUGGGAAUGCUGGAGGGAGAGAUGUUUUCAAUUGUCCUCUCCUGACACGGCUUGAAGAUCUAAUCUCAGGAAUGACACAGGAAUCUGAGAGUCUGCUACAAUGGCAGCGGCGGUGUGUGCUUCACAGGAGGGACUACAAGCCAUGCUCCACUCGUCCAUCUUUGGUGAUCAGAUCAUCGGUGGCGUUGUCGGCUGGAUACCCAGGUCUGUUUUUGGUGGGAAAUGAUUGAACUCUUCAAGAACACUCUUCACAUCACUCAGCUGCACAUGGCCGGUCUGCUGCAGGGUGUCAAGAUGGCAAGCCAAGCCCGUAACUGACAGCCCAGGUGAGCUUAGAGUAUUUUUUAUAAGUUUUUAUAAGUUAUAAGUUAAACACUUGUUAUUUGA
rnacentral:lncRNA from 1 species